rnacentral:misc_RNA from 1 species
AAAGUCGUAACAAGGUUUCCGUAGGUGAACCUGCGGAAGGAUCAUUACAAAUCUAGCAGUGCGCUGCGCGCUUUUAGUGCGCAGCGCCACUCGAGCGCGGCCACGCGCAAGCGUGGCUCGACGUCCACCCGUCUACCGUGUGACUGUACGCAAUGCAAAACAAAACCAAAGACAACUUUUAACAAUGGAUCUCUUGGCUCUU